UACGUAGGGGGCUAGCGUUGUUCGGAAUCAUUGGGCGUAAAGGGCGCGUAGGUGGUUCUGUAUGUCUACCGUGAAAGCGUACGGCUCAACCGUAUUUUGUCGGUAGAAACUGCAGGACUUGAGGCUGGGAGGGGCUGGUGGAAUUCCCUGUGUAGCGGUGAAAUGCGUAGAGAUGGGGGAGAACACUCGUGGCGAAGGCGGCCAGCUAGACCAGUUCUGACACUGAGGCGCGACAGCGUGGGGAGCAAACAGG
rnacentral:rRNA from 1 species